rnacentral:rRNA from 1 species
GAUGAACGCUAGCGGCAGGCUUAAUACAUGCAAGUCGAGGGGCAGCGGGGGUAGCAAUACCUGCCGGCGACCGGCAAACGGGUGCGGAACACGUACACAACCUUCCUCCCGGUGGGGGAUAGCCCAGAGAAAUUUGGAUUAAUACCCCAUAGUAUGCUAAGGAAGCAUUUCCUUAGUAUUAAAGAUUUAUUGCCGGGAGAUGGGUGUGCGUCUGAUUAGGUAGUUGGUCGGGGUAACGGCCCACCAAGCCAACGAUCAGUAACUGGUGUGAGAGCACGACCAGUCACACGGGCACUGAGACACGGGCCCGACUCCUACGGGAGGCAGCAGUAAGGAAUAUUGGUCAAUGGACGCAAGUCUGAACCAGCCAUGCCGCGUGGAGGAUGAAGGUCCUCUGGAUUGUAAACUUCUUUUUUCUGGGAAGAAAUGCAUUUAUUCUUAAGUGUUUGACGGUACCAGAAGAAUAAGCACCGGCUAACUCCGUGCCAGCAGCCGCGGUAAUACGGAGGGUGCAAGCGUUAUCCGGAUUCACUGGGUUUAAAGGGUGCGUAGGUGGGCUGGUAAGUCAGUGGUGAAAUCUCCGGGCUUAACCCGGAAACUGCCAUUGAUACUACAAGUCUUGAAUGUCGUGGAGGUGAGCGGAAUAUGUCAUGUAGCGGUGAAAUGCUUAGAUAUGACAUAGAACACCAAUUGCGAAGGCAGCUCACUACACGGAUAUUGACACUGAGGCACGAAAGCGUGGGGAUCAAACAGGAUUAGAUACCCUGGUAGUCCACGCCCUAAACGAUGGAUACUCGACAUACGCGAUACACAGUGUGUGUCUGAGCGAAAGCAUUAAGUAUCC